rnacentral:rRNA from 1 species
GAGUUGCGAACGGGUGAGUAACGCGUAGGUAACCUGCCUGGUAGCGGGGGAUAACUAUUGGAAACGAUAGCUAAUACCGCAUAACAGUCGACAUUGCAUGAUGUUGAUUUGAAAGGUGCAAUUGCACCACUACCAGAUGGACCUGCGUUGUAUUAGCUAGUUGGUGAGGUAACGGCUCACCAAGGCAACGAUACAUAGCCGACCUGAGAGGGUGAUCGGCCACACUGGGACUGAGACACGGCCCAGACUCC